CCCCUAAGGAUUUUUUAUAAUGCAUGGAUGUUAAAUGUUAUCACAUGCUUUUUCUGCAUCCAUUGAGAUGAACAUGUGAGUUUUGUCUUUUCUUUUGUUGAUGUGUAUAUUAUGUCGAUUUGCGUAUGUUGAAUCAUUCUUGAAACCCUGGGAAGAAUCCAACUUGGUCAUGGUGUAUGACAUUUUUUAUAUGUUGUUGGAUUUGCUUUGCUAAUAUUUUGAGAAUUUUUGUGUCAUCAAAGAGAUUGGCCUGUAAUUUUCUUUUUUGGUAGUGGCUUUGUCUGGUUUUGAUAUCAGGGUGAUGGUGAAUUCAUAAAAUGUCUUUGGGAAUGUUUCUUCCUCUUCAAUCUUUUGGAAGAGUUAUAGAAGGAUUGGUAUGUUCUUCUUUGUAUGUUUGUUAGAUUUUGCCUGUGAAGCCAUCCAGUCCUGGACUUUUGUGGGGAAUAUUGUUAUUAUUACAGAUUCUAUUUCAUUUCUAGUGAUUUGUCUGUUCAAAUUAUCUAUUUCUUCUUGAUUCAGUUUUGGUGGCCUGUAUGUUUCUAGAGAGUUGUCCAUUUCUUCUAGGUUGUCAAAUUUGUUGGCAUACAAUUGCCCAUGGUAUUUUCUUAUGGCUUUUUUUUUUUUUUUCUUUUUUUUUGGAUUUCUGUGGUAUCUGUUGUGAUUUCUCCUCUUUCAUUUCUUAUUUUGCUUAUUUGGGUUUUCUCUGUUUUCCUCUUGAUGAGCCUGGCCAGAGGUUUCUCAGUUUUGUUUACCCUUUCAAAGAACCAGCUCUUGGUUUUAUUGAUUUUUUUUCUAUUUUUUAAAUCUCUAUUUUAUUUAUUUCUUCUCUGAUCUUUAUUAUCUCCUUCCUUCUGCUGAUUCAGGUUUUGUCCUUCUUUUUCUAAUUCUUUUAGGUAGUGGAUUAGGUUGUUUGAGAUUUUUUUUUUUUUUAAAGAAGGCCUGUGUCACUAUGAACUUCACUCUAAGACCAGCUUUUGUUGCAUCCCAUAGAUUUUUGUAUUGUGUUUUCAUUGUCAUUUGCCUCAUGGUAUUUUUUAAAUUUCUUCCUCGAUUUCAUUGUUGACCUAUUGGUUUUUUGGUAGCAUGUUGUUUAGUCUCCAUGUAAUUGUUUUUUUCUCAUUUCUUUUUCUGUGAUUGCUACCUAGUUUCAUGCCAUUGUGAUUUAAAAAAAAAGAUGCUUGAAAUAAUUUCUAUAUUCUCAAUUUGAGGCUUGUUUUGUAUUUUAGUAUGUGGUCAACCCUUGAGAAUGUUCCAUGUGCACUUGAAAAGAAUGUGUAUUCUGCUUUUUGAGGAUGUAAUACCCUGAAGAUAUCAGUUAAGUCUAACUGUCCUGUUGUAUCAUUUAGGAUUUCUGGUGCCUUAUAGAUUUUCUGUCUUGAAGAUCUAUCUGUCCCUUGAUGUGAAUGGGCUAUUAUAAGUCUCCUAUUAUUCUUGUAUUCCUGUCAAUUUCUCCUUUUAUGUCUGUUAGUAUUUGUUUUAUAUAUUUGGGUGCUCCUAUAUUGGGUACAUAUACGUUGACCAGUGUAAUAUCCUCUCCUUGUAUUGAUCCUUUUACCAUUAUAUAGUGUCCUUUAUCUUUACAGCCUUUGUUUUAAAGUCUAUUUUGUCUGAUAUGAGUAUUGCGACCCUCACUUUCUUGUCAUUUCUGUUUGCAUGAACUAUCUUUUUCCAUUGCCUCACUUUCAAUUUAUGUGUGUCCUUUGCCUUUAAAAUGGAUCUCUUAUAGGCAGCAUAUUGUAAGCUCUUGUUUUUCAAUCCAUUUUGCCACUCUAUGUCUUUUGAUUGGAGCUUUUGGUUCAUUGACAUUUAAGGUAAUUAAUGAUAUGUAUUUAUUGCCAUUUUAAACCUUGUUUUCUGAUUUUUAAAAAUAUUUCUUCUUUGCCCUUUUUUGUUUUUGUUUUUCCUUUUGUGGUUUGAUUUUUUUUGUAUUACACUUAUUAUGUUUUAAUUUUUUUUGUGUGAAUCUAUUGAAUGUUGAUUUGUGGUUGCCAUUUUUCAAGUGUGUUAACCCCUUCCUAUAUCUACUUGCUUUGUGGGCCCAGCACACUCCUGCUGUGUGACUCUGCUGGCUAUCUACUUGCUUUAGACUGACAGUCAUAUAGGUUCAAACACAUUACAGAAAAAAAAAAUCUACAUUUUUUUUAUUCUCCUCCCCAGGUUUUAUGAGCUUGCUGCCCUCUUUUGCAUCUUCAUGUUCAUCCUUUUUCUGUUCAUGGUGGUUAAGAUCACUUUCACAGAAAUUUUCUGAUUUUUUUUUUUUAAUCCGUGUACUGGCUUUUUAAAGUGAUUUUACUUUCCAGUUGUGAUUUUCUUUCUUAUAGAUUCUUUGUUUCUAUUUAGAGAAGACUUUUCAAUAUUUCCUUUUAGGAUAGGUUUAAUGUUAUUGUAUUCUUUUAGUUUGUGCUUGUCUGAGAAAUUCUUCUUCUUUUUGGUAUUUUUUUUCUUUUUACAGCAGCACCCUAGGCAUAUGGAAGUUUCCAGGCUAGGGGUCAAAUCAGAGCUGCAGCUGCCAUCCUAUGCCACAGCCACAGCAAUGUGGGAUCCAAGCUGCAUCUGUGACCUACACCACAGCUCAUGUCAACACCAUAUCUAUAACCCAAUGAGUGGGGCCAGGGAUUGAAUCUGUGUCCUCAUGGAUACCAGUUGGGUUCAUUACCUUUGAGCCAUGAUAGGAACUCCCUAAGAAAUUCUUCUUUUCUCCUAUUCUAAAGGAUGGUCUGUUGAGUAGAUUGCAGAUUGUAGGAUUGCAGGAUUGCAGUAUCCUAGGUUGCAGAUUUUUCCCUUUCAGGAUGUUGUCUAUAUCUUGCCACUCUUUUCUGGCCCAUAGAGAUUGUUUCAUUAGGAAAAUUAGCUGAUAGUCUUAUGGGGAUUCCUUUGCAAUUAACUCUUUGUUUUCUUCUUGCUACCUUAAGAACCCUCUCUUUUUAUCUUUUGUCAUUUUUAAGAUAAUAUGUCUUGGUGUAAGUCUGGGUUUAUCUCAUUGAGGACUCUCUGUGCUUUCUGUGGAUAUGUAUUCUUCUUUAGGUUUGGAAAGUUUUCAGCCAUUAUUUCUUCAAAUAUGUUUUCAAUCCUCUUUUCUCCUUUCUCUCCUCCUGGGAUCCCUAUUAUGAAUAGGUUGGCACACUUUAUAUUUUCCCAGAGUUCUCUUAUAUUGCUUUUAUUUUUUUCAUUUGGGUUUUGUCUGCUCUUCUAAUUGGGUGACUUCUAUUGCUCUAUCUUCCAGAUUAUUUAUUAGUUCUUCUGCGUUAUUCAUUCUGUGUUAUUCAUUCUGCCUUUAGUCAGCUUUCGUCUUUUCAAAUGAAUUUUCUAAUUUUUCUUGCCUCCUUCUUCUAGUUUCUAGUUCCUUUUUACAGUAAUCUGCAUCUCUAUUGAUAGCCUUUCUUAAAUCCUUCAGUACUUACCUGCUUUUUGAACUCGGUGUCCAGUAGACUGAAGAGGUCUCUUUCAUUGUUUGUUCUUUCAGGGGAUUUCUGUCCAUCCUUUAACUGGGAGUGAUUCCUCUGCUGCUUCACUUUACUUAUCACUCUUGCUCUGUAAUUAUAGGAGAAACAAUUAUCAACUGUGGUCUUGGAGGGCUAUUUUUAUAUGGGAACAUCCCGGUGUAGCCUGUGUGGGUUUAAUAUUUUUUGGUGUGAGGGCUAUUUUUAGUAUGGAUGUUUGCCACCUCUUUUCUCAGUGUAUGUUGGCCAUUAUCUCCUUGACAGGAGGUAUAACUCCUGUUGUGGUGAUCAGAGCCUGCCCUGGAUAUUGAGCAGGGCCUCCUCUUUGCUCUGUGGUUGUCAUAGCCCUGCUGGGGUAGGGUCUGCUUCCUAAUUGUUGGAGUAGAAGACCCUAGAUCUAUUUUUGAGCUAUGCUUCUGAGUUGUGGUGCAAGGUAGGUGGGAUUGGAGCACUCCCUCUGAGAGACAUACCAUGGAGUAUUCCUCCACUGGAAGUUUUCACCCGUGAAUGUGCUCUGUCACCUUUUACCCUUUAUGGGGGUUCACAAAGUACACUAUUGUUGGCACUUCCCUCAGCCCCACCUUGACGGAGGAUAUGCCAGCAAUUUGCCCUGGUAUCUCUCAGGUGUUGUUUUCACAGGGCUACCAAUGCAGCCAAUACCAGUCCUCUCCCUGGGGUCUGUCCUCUAACCCCCACGUUCUAGCACCCAACCUGGCCAAUACCAGUGCAUGUGCAUCUCAGGCUGGGGUGCACAGGGUGAUGGCACAGACUGUCUGUAAAUGUCCCUCUCUGUUCUGUCUGCCAAAAAUUGGCUGUUGUGUCUCCUCGGGGCCUCUGAAGCUCCCUUUCUCUCCUGGCUGAUUUCCCUGCAGGUGAUGGGUUUCCUAGGGAGCAAGAACUUCUCUCCUUCAGCUCCCUCCCAGUGGUGCAGGUCCAGUCCUGCUUCCUCUUUUUUUUCUUUUUCUUUUCUUUUGUCCUACCUGGUUAUGUGAAGAUCUUUCUUGUCCUUUCAGGUGUUUGAGGUCUGCUAGUGUUCAGUAGGUGUUCUGUGAGGAUUGUUCCAUUUGUAGAUGUAUUCUUGAUGCACUUGUGGGAAGAGGUGAGUUCUAUAACCUACUACUCUGCUAUCCAGAUUCUGAGUUCUUUUUUUUAGGGCUACACCUGCAGCAUUUGGAAGUUCCCAGGCUAGGGAACUGGAGUUGCCAAAUUGGAGUUGCAACUGCGAGCCUAUGCCACAAGCCACAGCAACAAGGGAUCCAGAUCUUGACUGUGAACUUCACUGCACCUCACAAAAACACCAGAUCCUUAACCCACUAAGUGAGGCCAGGGGUCGAACCUGAGUCCUCAUGGAUACUAGUCAGGUUCUUAACCUGCUGAGCUACAACAGGAACUCCCUGAGCUCUUAUAUUUUACUCUUAAGAAUGAUGUUGGAGUUCCCACUGUGGUGCAAUGGAUUGGCAGUGUCUCUACAGCACCAGGAUGCAGGUUUGAUCCCCAGCCCAGCACAGUGGGUUAAAAGAUUGCAGCUGCAGCAUAGGUUGCAACCAUGGCUCAUAUCUGAGCGCCAGCCUGGGAACUUCAUAUGCCAUAGGGUGGCAAAAAAAAAAAAAA
rnacentral:lncRNA from 1 species